UCGAACGCGAAAGACACCUUCGGGUGUCGAGUAGAGUGGCGCACGGGUGAGUAACACGUGGGUAAUUUCCCUUCGGGUGGGGAAUAGCGGCUGGAAACGGCCAUUAAUACCGCAUAAUGCAGCGGCUCCGAGUGGAGACAGUUGUUAAAGCGGGGGAUUCCCGCAAGGGGACCUCGCGCCUGAAGAAAAGCCCACGGCGGAUUAGCUAGUUGGUGAGGUAAUGGCUCACCAAGGCGACGAUCCGUAACCGGCCUGAGAGGGCGGUCGGUCACACUGACACUGAACAACGGGUCAGACUCCUACGGGAGGCAGCAGUCGGGAAUUUUGGGCAAUGGGCGCAAGCCUGACCCAGCAACGCCGCGUGAAGGAUGAAAUCCUUCGGGAUGUAAACUUCGCAAGAAUGGGAAGAAUAAGUUUGAGCCAAUACCUCAAACGAUGACGGUACCAUUUGUAAGCUCCGGCUAACUCCGUGCCAGCAGCCGCGGUAAUACGGGGGGAGCAAGCGUUGUUCGGAUUUACUGGGCGUAAAGGGCGCGUAGGCGGCCACGACAAGUCACUUGUGAAAUCUCCGGGCUUAACUCGGAUAGGUCAAGUGAUACUGUCGGGCUAGAGUGCGGAAGGGGCAACUGGAAUUCUCGGUGUAGCGGUGAAAUGCGUAGAUAUCGAGAGGAACACCUGCGCCGAAGGCGGUUGCUGGCCGACACUGACGCUGAGCGCGGAACUAGGG
rnacentral:rRNA from 1 species